rnacentral:rRNA from 1 species
CCUACGGGGGGCAGCAGUGGGGAAUAUUGGACAAUGGGGGGAACCCUGAUCCAGCCAUGCCGCGUGUGUGAAGAAGGCCCUCGGGUUGUAAAGCACUUUCAGUGAGGAAGAACGCCUGGUGGUUAAUACCCAUCAGGAAAGACAUCACUCACAGAAGAAGCACCGGCUAACUCCGUGCCAGCAGCCGCGGUAAUACGGAGGGUGCGAGCGUUAAUCGGAGUUACUGGGCGUAAAGCGCGCGUAGGUGGCUUGAUAAGCCGGUUGUGAAAGCCCCGGGCUCAACCUGGGAACGGCAUCCGGAACUGUCAAGCUAGAGUGCAGGAGAGGAAGGUAGAAUUCCCGGUGUAGCGGUGAAAUGCGUAGAGAUCGGGAGGAAUACCAGUGGCGAAGGCGGCCUUCUGGACUGACACUGACACUGAGGUGCGAAAGCGUGGGUAGCAAACAGGAUUAGAUACCCUAGUAGUC